GAGCUGCGCAGGCAGGUGGAGUCCCCAGCCCUGGCUGUGCUCAGAAGUGGUCUGGAUGUGGUGCUUGGGGAGAUGGCUCAGGGUGAACAUCGCGGAGUAAGGAUGUCGCUUGGAUUUGGUGAUCCCGAAGGGCUUUUCCUAGCUGCCUGUGCCUGCGGUUCUGCGAGGAGAGCCCCGGCGGCUGCUGCUGCGUGCCGAGAGACAGGAGCCGGCGGAGCCCGGGGAGAGGGUCCAGAGCAGCCACCUGCUGCUAGAAGCUAACCACAAACUCCAUCUCUGUUUGCAAAAAUAAACCAAACCCAGCGCAGAUCCUAGUUUCCAGUUAACCCUGGCUUUGACAGCAGCUCCUGGCUGUGAGCAUCCCUGAGUGGAGAGCUUCUCUAUGAUUAUCAAUACCUAAAGGUGGGGCCUAAUUCCAAUGCCACAGGAUGGGAAAGCCAGAAACUCUGCCCAGGAUGUACCCACCCUUGUUCUGCAUGAAGUGUCUUCAUGUAAAACGCUUGCAGGAUGUGAGAAGGAAGCAACCCUUCAGUUUAACAAGCAAUAAACUCCAUGCAAGGGCAGUAA